GCAGAGUAGAUUCCGGCGCGUCAAGUGCCGGCUGAACAGGGAGUUGUCAGCCGGACGAAGGGAAGACCGCGGUGCCGGGAUCGCAUCCCGCUGC
rnacentral:ncRNA from 1 species